rnacentral:rRNA from 1 species
CACGUAGGGGGCGAGCGUUGUCCGGAUUUAUUGGGCGUAAAGAGCUCGUAGGCGGCUCGGUAAGUCGGGUGUGAAACCUCCAGGCUCAACCUGGAGACGCCACCUGAUACUGCCGUGGCUAGAGUCCGGUAGAGGAGCGUAGAAUUCCUGGUGUAGCGGUGAAAUGCGCAGAUAUCAGGAGGAAUACCAGCGGCGAAGGCGGCGCUCUGGGCCGGUACUGACGCUGAGGAGCGAAAGCGUGGGGAGCAAACAGG